rnacentral:rRNA from 1 species
AUACGGAGGACGCGAGCGUUAUCCGGAUUCAUUGGGUUUAAAGGGAGCGUAGGCGGGAGGUCAAGUCAGCUGUGAAAUGUAUCUGCUUAACGGGUACACUGCAGUUGAAACUGGUUUUCUUGAGUGCGUAAGAGGCAGGCGGAAUUCGUUGUGUAGGGGUGAAAUGCUUAGAUAUGACGAGGAACUCCUAUUGCGUGGGCAGCUUGCUGGGUCGUUACUGACGCUGAUGCUCGAAGGUGCGGGGAUCAAACAGGAUUAGAUACCCUGGUAGUCCGCACAGUAAACUAUGGAUACUCUCUGCCGGCGAUAUAUUGUCGGUGGCCAAGCGAAAGCGUUAAGUAUCCCACCUGGGGAGUACGUUCGCAAGAAUGAAACUCAAAGGAAUUGACGGGG